UUGAUCCAAAUAUUGUUUGCAAAUUGUCUGAAAUGCUUUAUCAGCACAAUACACAUACAAAGUCUUUUCGGAUGGUAAGAGAAAGAUUGAAUCAAGGUAAUGUAAACAACUUGAAGCUAAGGUUGAUUUCUCAGAGGUAUACUGAUGGUAGAAUAUACAAUCAACCCUCAGUGUCCGAUGUAGCUGCUCUUAUUGUUGGUGAUGUUGAUACUGCUUCAAAAAGAGACUUAGUAAUAGAGACUCAAUGUGGCAAACUUCAAAGAAUAGAUGAAUUUCAUGCAAGCUAUCUGGCCUACCAAUAUCCCUUAAUUUUUCCUUAUGGCGAGGAUGGCUAUCGACGCGACGUGCCUCAUAGUGAUAAGGGAAGUUCUAAGGGCAGAAAGAGGAAUUGGCUGACUAUAAGAGAAUGGUUUGCUUUUAGAAUUCAAUCUAGAACAGAGGAAGCACAAACUUUAUUAUGUUCAAGAAGACUAUACCAACAAUUCCUAGUUGAUGGAUUCACUAUGUUGGAGUCUGAAAGAUUCAACUGGCUGAGGCAAAAUCAGUCAAAACUACGAGUCUCUAAAUAUCGUAGUCUGAAUGAAACUGAUCACCAUAUUCAAACUCAAGGGUCAACCAAAGGAAAGAGAGUAAUAUUACCUGCAUCACAUGUGGGAAGCCGUAGAUACAUGGAUCAAUUAUAUUUUGAUGGAAUGGCAAUUUGUAGCUAUGUUGGUUUUCCUGAUCUUUUCAUUACAUUUACCUGUAAUCCCAACUGGCCAGAAAUUCAAAGAGUGCUAGGACCGAUAAAUUUGAAAGCAUAUGAUCGUCCUGAUAUAAUAACAAGGGUGUUUAAAAUGAAAUUGGAUGAGCUCCUUUCAGAUUUGACCAAGAAAAAUGUGCUUGGGAAAGUUCUUGCAUAUAUAUACACCAUUGAGUUUCAAAAGAGGGGAUUGCCACAUGCACACAUACUUAUAUUUCUGCAUCCAUCUAGCAAGUUCCCCACUCCUGAUGAUAUUGACAAGAUCAUUUUAGCAGAGAUACCAAGUCAGGAACAUGAGAAAGAGUUAUAUAAUUUGGUUAAAAAUUACAUGAUCCAUGGCCCAUGUGGCGUAUCUCAUGAAUCACCACCUUGCAUCAAAAAUGGGAAGUGCUCAAAAUAUUAUCCUAAGCAGUACCAAAACUCAACAUUUGUCGACAAAUAUGGUUAUCCGGUGUAUAGACGAAGGGACAACGGUCGCACAAUUGUCAAGAAUGGUGUCUCAUUCAGUAACAAAGAUAUUGUACCAUACAAUCCUAUGUUGCUAAUGAAGUACCAAGCACAUAUCAAUAUGGAAUGGUGUAACCAAAGUUGGUCAAUAAAGUACUUAUUCAAGCACAUAAAUAAAGGUUAUGAUAGGAUAACAGCUGUUAUUGCUCCAACACAAGACAAAGAUUCAACUCAAAGUGGUGGUAACAUUGAUGAGAUCAAACAAUACUUGGAUUGUAGGUAUGUGUCACCAAAUGAGGCAUGUUGGAGAAUUUUUUCAUUUCCAAUACAUGGUCGGAACCCAGCAGUUGAAAGGUUGCACUUUCAUAUUCCAGGUGACCAGCUAGUCUACUUUAACGAUUAUGAGCACAUUGACGAUGUCCUGUUGAAGCCAAGUGUCACUGAAUCAAUGUUUACAUCUUGGAUGCAAGCAAACAAGAUUUAUCCCGAAGCCAAAAAUUUGACUUAUGGCCAGUUUGUUUCUAAAUUUGUAUAUGUUAGGACAAAAAGGUCAUGGAAACCACGUAAGACAGGUUAUACUAUUGGGAGGCUAAUUUGGGUUCCUCCAAGUACUGGAGAGCUUUUUUAUUUAAGAAUGCUGCUUACUAUUGUAAAAGGACCUGGCAGCUAUGAAGAUAUUAAAACUGUUGCCAAUAUCCAAUAUGAAACUUUCAGAGAAGCAUGUUUUGCAAUGGGUCUCCUUGAAGAUGAUAGAGACUAUAUAGAGACCAUAAAAGAGGCAAAUGAAUGGGGUCCUGGAAAGUACUUAAGGAAGUUAUUUAUCAUUAUGCUCUUAUCAUGUACCCUUAAUAGACCAGACUAUUUGUGGAAUCAAACUUGGACGUUGUUGUCUGAUGGGAUACUUAAUGAACAAAGGAAAUUGGUUGCCAAUCAAGACUUGCAACUUUCUUAUGAAGAGAUACAAAAUUUAUCUUUGCUUGAGAUUGAGAAACAUCUGCAAACAAACCGGAGAAGUCUGAAGCAAUAUCCAACAAUGCCAUAUCCAAAAGGUUACAUCACAGGUCAAUUCGGGAAUAAACUAAUAUAUGAGGAGCUUGACUAUGAUCAAGCUAUUCAACAACAACAAUUCCAACAAUUAUUCAGUUCUCUUACAGAUGAGCAAAGAGGAAUAUUUGAAACAAUUAUGCAAGCAGUCAACAACCAGAAGGGAGGAGUAUUUUUCCUAAAUGGUUAUAGUGGAACCGGAAAAACUUUCAUGUGGAGAACUUUAGCAUCAGCCAUACGUUCUCAACGUCAUAUUGUGUUGACCGUGGCAUCAAGUGGAAUAGCAUCACUUUUAUUACCGGGAGGAAGAACAGCACAUUCAAAGUUUAGAAUUCCUAUUCCUGCAUUUGAUUACUCGAUUUGCGGUAUAGAAAAAGGAAGUAAAAUUGCAGAGCUGCUGAAACUAACAAAACUCAUAAUAUGGGAUGAAGCUCCAAUGACCCAUAAAUUUUGUUUUGAGGCACUGGACAAAACUCUCAAAGACAUAAUGAGUUCGAGCACUUCAAUAUUUGGAGGAAAAGUUAUAGUUUUUGGGGGUGACUUUAGACAAAUUCUACCAGUCAUUCCAAGAGGAAGUCGUUCUGACAUUGUCCAUGCAACAAUUAAUGCAUCAUAUAUUUGGGAUCAUUGUCAAGUGUUAACUCUAACAAAAAAUAUGCGUUUGCAUACUGGGUCACAAAGUUCCGAUACAGCAGAACUCAAUGAGUUCUCACAAUGGAUUUUAAACAUUGGCGAUGGGAAGAUUUCUGAGCCAAAUGAUGGUUAUGCUGAGAUAGAUAUUCCAAGUGAAUUAUUGAUCACCAAUUUUGAUGAUCCUAUCGAUGCAAUUGUGAAAAGUACAUAUCCGAAUUUAAUUGAAAAUUAUAAGAAUGAAGAUUUUUUGCAAUCUAGGGCAAUUUUAGCAUCAAAAAUUGAAGUAGUUGAUCAAAUAAAUGAAUAUGUCCUGAAACUGAUUCCAGGUGAGGAAAUGGAGUAUUUAAGUUCAAAUUCUAUAGAUCGGUCGGAAGCUCAUACCAAUGAAGCAUUUGAAGUACUUACCCCUGAGUUUAUGAGCUCUCUAACAGCUUCAGGGCUUCCUAAUCAUAAAAUUAAACUCAAGGUUGGUACUCCAAUAAUGCUUUUAAGAAAUUUAGACCAAUCAGAAGGAUUAUGUAAUGGAACUAGACUCAUUGUCACAAGGCUAGCAAAUCAUGUGCUCGAAGCAAAGAUCAUUGCUGGGAAGGAUAACGGACGCGUUGUCUACAUUCCACAGAUAUCUAUCUUUUUGAAUGAAUCACCAUGGCCAUUCAAGCUUAUUAGGAAACAAUUUCCUAUAAUUGUCUCAUAUGCUAUGACAAUUAAUAAAGCACAAGGUCAAUCUCUCGACUAUGUUGGGCUAUACUUGCCUAGACCGGUGUUUAGCCAUGGCCAGCUAUAUGUGGCGAUUUCCAGAGUUACGAGAAAACAAGGUCUCAAGAUCUUGAUCCAUGAUAAUGAAAGACAACCACUAAACGUUACCACCAACGUGGUUUUCAAAGAGGUCUUCCAAAAUCUUUAAUUAUUCGCAGGGUACUCAAAAGGAUAGAAAAGAGGUGGUUUGCAACAAUCCAUGCCAACAAUGUGGGGUUCUCCCCUGACAAUUUUGGAGCUAAGGAGAUGCUGGGAGUAUUUCAAAAAUAGGGUUCAAUUGCGGAAGUUGUCAUUCUGUCAAAAGGAGAUAAGUGUGGGAAACAAUUUGGGUCUCAUGGCUCAGAGUUUUUAGGUACUGGUAAAUGCUUGGUCCACUGAGUUCUUUUCUUUCUUAGUGGCUUCUUAUGGAAACUACAUGUGCGUGGAUGAUAAUACAUUGAAGAAAAAUACCAUGGGUGUAGCAAAGGUUAUGAUCAGGAUGAGGGGCCGCACUUUUAUUGACUCAAAGGUGAAUAUUAACAUUAAUAGGGAUAGGGAUGUUUAGUCCAUUAGUGGAGGCUACUGCAACAUUUUUCGUGGGCCAAAACAAAGCUGGCGAAAUUUACCAAGCCAUUGCUAUGUAGUGUUGAUGUAAUCUUUGUUUCUUUAACUUCUGAAUCUGAAUAUAUAUAUUUUAGCGCCGGCUUCAAGUGUUGAUGUUGAUGUAACCUAUGUCUCUUUAAAUUCCGAAUCUGAAUGUAUAUAUUUUAUUAUGUGUUUGCUUUUAUAGAAGAAAUAUUUUCUAAUUUUAUUUUUCACCCUGAGUUUCAAAUGAAAGACAUUAACAAUCAAAACAUCAAUCCAUUGAUGAAAAAUAUAUAUCAAAGUAAUAAAUGGAAAGUGACGUACUAUUAAAAAGAGGGAAUUUUAAAGUAAGUAAUAAAUUAUACUAAGUAAACAUAUAAC